rnacentral:rRNA from 1 species
GACGAACGCUGGCGGCGUGCUUAACACAUGCAAGUCGAACGGAAAGGCCCUGCUUUUGUGGGGUGCUCGAGUGGCGAACGGGUGAGUAACACGUGAGUAACCUGCCCUUGACUUUGGGAUAACUUCAGGAAACUGGGGCUAAUACCGGAUAGGAGCUCCUGCUGCAUGGUGGGGGUUGGAAAGUUUCGGCGGUUGGGGAUGGACUCGCGGCUUAUCAGCUUGUUGGUGGGGUAGUGGCUUACCAAGGCUUUGACGGGUAGCCGGCCUGGGAGGGUGACCGGCCACAUUGGGACUGAGAUACGGCCCAGACUCCUACGGGAGGCAGCAGUGGGGAAUAUUGCACAAUGGGCGGAAGCCUGAUGCAGCAACGCCGCGUGCGGGAUGAAGGCCUUCGGGUUGUAAACCGCUUUCGCCUGUGACGAAGCGUGAGUGACGGUAAUGGGUAAAGAAGCACCGGCUAACUACGUG